rnacentral:rRNA from 1 species
AUACGGAGGAUCCGAGCGUUAUCCGGAUUUAUUGGGUUUAAAGGGUGCGCAGGCGGCCAUUUAAGUCAGCGGUUAAAUCGUGGGGCUCAACCCCAUUCUGCCGUUGAUACUGGGUGGCUUGAUUGCGGUCGAGGUUGGCGGAAUUCGUUGUGUAGCGGUGAAAUGCAUAGAUAUGACGAAGAACGCCGAUUGUGAAGACACCUCACGAAGCGGUAACUGACGCUGAGGCACGAAAGCGUGGGGAUCGAACAGGAUUAGAUACCCUGGUAGUCCACGCAGUAAACGAUGAUGACUAACCGUCGGCGAUAGACCGCCGGUGGCCAAGCGAAAGCGAUAAGUCAUCCACCUGGGGAGUACGACCGCAAGGUUGAAACUCAAAGGAAUUGGCGGGG